UAUGCAAUGAACUUAAAAUUCAUUUAUAAAGAAUAAUCUUUUUUUAGAA
rnacentral:tRNA from 1 species